UGAAGAGUGAGGAUCUUAGCUGUCCCGUGACACUUCCUACGGCUGCCAUAGGGUCUCAGAAGGCGGUAAAAAGCUGAAUCGUGGCUUUGCAGGCUCUGGCUGAAACAAAGUAGCGCGUUUGGGUAGUGGCUGGUUACAGUACUGUGAGACUCAGGCUCGUGCCCGCAUCGACCGAAAGCUUUGUUUACUUUCCUCAGUUUAGCUAAAAGAAGAUUCCUGGUCGGAAUAUUAUCGCUUUUUUACGAGAAAAUGGCAUAAAAAUGGAUUUUAAACAGCGGUUGACAUGCUUCGAAGUACGGUAAUGGAAUAUUUAGAUUUUUUUUGUCACGAAUUGCGCCAUGCGCACGACCCUGAUUUACCAUUUCAGAUAGUGUCUGGGACGCACGAACAAAACGCCGCUAUUCGGAUAUAACGAUGGAUUAUUUUGGACCAAACCAACAUUUGUUAUUGAAGUAGCAGUCCUGGGAGUGCAUUCUGACGAAGACAACAAAAGAUUAUGAAGUUUGCCGUGGUUCAGUUCCUGGAUGAAAAGUAUGGCUCAAAGAUGACAUCUGUUAUUGGCCACCACUCAGCCUCAGAAAGAAGAACAAAAUAAACAAUUUAGUCAUCAAGUGUGCACCACCAGACAGCACCUGGGAAAUAAGUUGCUUUUAGUUCAUGAAGGGAGCAGUGUUGAAACGACAGAUGAUGAGCAAAUAAGAAAACGGAGAACUGCAAAUAGCAAGUACCCAUCCCAGGAUUCUGAUGAAGGUGAACAUGAGUCAACUCUUCCAGACGAACUGCCAGUCCCAUCGUAUCAGGAGUCUCUAUCGAACCAUGAAAACAUUGCAGUGCCAGCAGACUUUAGAGCUGUUGUCUCCAGUAUAACACAGUUAUACACACUUCAAGCGACCAAGAGUCCGAAUACAAGACAAGCGUCAUAUUCCACCAGAGGAGGUUGUUGGCACCUUAAUUGGGGAGGACGGGCUCGUGGUAAUGGCUAGAGCGGAAAAGGUGGAAUGUUUGAUGCCGUUCCAUUUGCUCCGUUCCAGCCAUUAUUAUGAGCCCAUUCUGCCCUCAGCAGGAUCCACUGUAUUCCACAGCAUCAUAUUCACCACAGCAGCAUGUGGAUGACAGCCAUGGAGGGCCUACAAUGAGGAACUUCAAUGGGCCAAAUUAUAUCCGUAGACAUGAAGAAAUCCAAGGACUCCGGCAGGAAAACAAAUCACUAAAGCACUGAGAGAAGAAGUUAAGGUGCUAAGGCAUAGGCAAGGAUGUCCGGGUGGUAUCGGAUCACUGAGUGAAGAAGUGACGCAAGUUGCUACCAUGCUAAGGACCUUUGCUGCUACUGGGCAAUCAGGUCUGAUAUAACACUUUUAAUGCGGCAUAUGGGAACAGUGAAUGAUCGAACGCUUGAGAUGGAUAACAAGGAGCCAUUCACCAGAACCCUGAAAUCCAGGAUGCCACGGACAAAGUGGUCCAGAUUCAAGUCACCCAUUACCUGAAAGGGGCCUCCGAUCAUGAAGGUGAGAGAAGGCGGCGCACAUGGGAGCGAAAUCUGCUGCGGUGCGGGUCAACAUCAAGUCUGCCCUUAUUUUGAAGAUGUCCUCCAGAGACAGGUGUUUUAUACAACAGAAUUCUGUGUUCUCUUUAGGACUCUUUCUGUAUUUGGCAAUCAUCUCUCUGUUUCCAAUUGUAUAAAAAAAAGCUACGUUAUAGAAAUUUUAUAGACAGAAGCACACUACAUGGCAGACCAAUCUGAACUAAUUUAUCGGCAUGUCCAGCCCAUCCAACAUCUCAGCCAAUCAUGACUAGCGGGAAGGUUCCUGUAUUUUUCUAUGCUCGUAAUUUAGCAAUUGUAUUAAUAUCUACAGAUGGCAUACAAGUUUGUUAUUAAGGCACAUGGAAAGUUCACGUUCCAGCAAAAAAAGCAUUUUGAUUAAAACAAAUAAAAAAUGAAUGCCUCAUAUGUAGUGACGUG
rnacentral:lncRNA from 1 species